ACCCCAUUAACUAAGAAUGAAUACUUUCCAUAAGACAUAGGAAUUAGGCCAUCUGGCCCAGUGAGUCUGCUCCGUCAUUCAGUCAUGGCUGAUCCUUUUUUUUUCUCCUCCUCAACCCCAUUUCCUGGCCUUCUCCCUGUAACCUUUGAUGCCAUGUUCAAUCAAGAACCUAUCAAUCUCUGCCUUAAAUACACCCAACAGCCUGGCCUCCUCAGCUGCUUGUGUUAACAAAUUCACCAUCCUUUGGAUAAAGAUGUUGCUUUUAAACAAUUAAGACAUCCAUGAUGAAACAAGAGCCCCAAACUUCCCUUUACCCUCUCCCCCAUACAAACUUCCCCCUCCACCCCUCCCAUUUUGGCAGAAGGUGUCAGUGUCCAUCACCCACCAAGCAAUAGCAAAGCCCCCAAAGAGCAUAAGAGGCUAAGAAGGUGAUUGCACCAUCAAUAACUCACUCUGAGACAUAAGGCGAGAUAUCGGCUUUUAUUGACUGGAAGAAGGAACAAGCAGUGAGUGACCACCAUACUACAUCCUGGAGACUGAGAGGCCGGGCUCAGGCCUUGAUCGCCUUUAUACAGGGGUCUGUGGGAGGAGCCACAGGAGCAGUCAGCAGGGGGCGUGUCCAGACAGGUAUAUGUAGUUCACCACAGAGGGUAACAUUAUAGAGUAUAUAAAUAAUGACAGGCAUAGAUAAAGUGAACAAUCAGUCUUUUUUCCUAGGGUUGGGAUGUCUAAAACUACUGAUCAUAGAUUUAAAGUGUGAGGGAAAAUUUCAAAGGGCAAAUAUUUCCACUGGGGGGGUAGUGUCCCAGAGUGGGUACAAUAAAUUGUUUAAAAGACAUUUAGACAUGUACCGUACACGACAGGAAAGGUUUAGAGGAAAAUGGUCAAAGUGCAGGCAAAUAGGACGAGUUUAUGUUGGCAACUUGGUUGCCAUGGAUGCUUUGGCUGAAGGGCCCGUUUCUUGGUUGUAUAACCUUAUGACACUAAACUUCAAAUGAUUUGAUCAGGAUGCUAUGUUAAAAUUGACUUGGUAUCUACUUUUUAUCCCAAAUAUUUUAACUUAAUGUCACCAAUGGAGUCAUUGAAAUCCUAUGAGAUAAAUUACCUCAAAGACCUCAUAAGUGAGGUGAUUUUAUCUCUUGAUAUUUGUACACAAAGAUAAAUGAUAAUGUGCUACACUGAUCUACUUUACAGUAAUUAAUAUUGUUAUUGUGCUGUAGUAAUAGAAAAACUAGUAAGAAUUAAAUUCUCAAUCUUUGAAUAUAAGAAAUAGAAGAGGAAUAGGUCUCUGCUGCUGCAUACCUACUCAAUAAGAUUAUAGCUAAC